rnacentral:lncRNA from 1 species
CAACAAUACAUCACGUGAAGCAGCCACAAGUGUUAGGAAGAUUAUCAACAUAGUUGUUUUCUAACAGCGAGGCAGCACUGCAUAGUGAAUGUGUCACAAUGUCUAAUUAUACAGUGUGUGAGUUUGUGUGUAUGUGUGUGUGUGUCUGUGUUUGUGUGUAUGUGCGUGUGUUUGUGUGUGUUCUUCAUUGUGACGUGACAGAAAAUUGGGGGAAAUUGUGUGUGUGUGAGAGAAAGAGAGAAAGAAAGAGUAGUGCACUGUUGUUUAUUAUCUAUUUCACUUGCUGUGGCAAUGUAAACGUGUUUGCCAUGCCAAUGAAGCCCUUAAAUUGAAUUGAGAGAGACGAAAAAGGCAACAAGGCAGAGACAAAGAGAGAAAAGGAAGAUAGAAUAAUGGAGAGUCAGAGAUAGCCAGAUCGAAGAGAGACAGAAGAGAAGGAGAGACACAAAUAGAACAGACAGAUUGAGAAAGAGACAAGAUUAGAGGGACAAAUGAGACAACAGAGAAAUACAACAUGAGGAACAGGUGACUGUGUCUGAGGAAGACGUGAUUAUAUCUGAGGAACAGGUGAUUGUGUCUUUGGAACACGUGAUUGUAUCUGAGGAACACGUGAUUGUGUCUUAGGAACAGGUGAUUGUGUCUGAGGAACAGGUGAUUGUGUCUGAGGAACAGGUGAUUGUGUCUUUGGAACAGGUGAUUGUGUCUUUGGAACAGGUGAUUGUGUCUUUGGAACAGAUUAUUGUGUCUUUGGAACAGAUGAUUGUGUCUUUGGAACAGGUGAUUGUGUCUUUGGAACAGGUGAUUGUGUCUGAGGAACAGGUGAUUGUGUCUUUGGAACAGAUGAUUGUGUCUUUAGAACAGGUGAUUGUGUCUUUGGAACAGAUGAUUGUGUCUUUAGGACAGGUGAUUGUGUCUUUGGAACAGAUGAUUGUGUCUUUGGAACAGGUGAUUGUGUCUGAGGAAAAGGUGAUUGUGUCUGCAACAGGUGACUGUGUCGUUGGAAAAGGUGAUAUUGUCUGAGGAACAGGUGAUUGUGUCUUGGGAACAGGUGAUUGUGUCUGAGGAACAGGUGAUUGUGUCUGAGGAACAGGUGAUUGUGUCUGAGGAACAGGUGAUUGUGUCUGAGGAACAGGUGAUUGAGUCUGAAGAACAUGGUAUUGUGUCGUUGGAACAGG